GUGUCCGAUUAUGAAUAUACCUGCAACAUAAAUCAUUUCUCAUAAGUGGCUAUCAUUUAUCGAGUUCCCGCAGAAAUUUCAUGCGAGGUCGAACCAAUCUCCGCUGCAUUUAAAACUGCUUGCUUUUUUGUAGAUAAAAAGCAUUUCAUAAUUCUCCUGCUCCUUUCUUUCUUUUUUUCUUUGUCGCAGUGUUUGCAACUGUCUGGGGCUCCGCCCUUCAUUUUCGUUCACUGCGAGAAUCGUUUGCUUGUCUGUUAUUCGCAUACACGAACCUCUUGGCAGUCUAACUCGUAAAACGAGCCCAUUUCUUCGAAUUUGUUAAUUUCAUAGUCCAGGAACAUAUUGUUCAAUUUCUGAGGAAAUUAUUGUUACAUAACAACACAUCUGCAUGAGUUUAUUUGUCGAAGGAAGAUGGUAUACAUAGUCAUAAAUUCUUGAUUCUCGCAUCUUCUUAAGUAUAUGUGAACGUCUAUUCUAUAUCGGUUGAAGCAAACAAAUAAAAUCCACGUGCUAUUACUCUUGUAAGUAGCAGUGUAUGUUUCUUUCAAGAGAUGCUAAACUUAUAUUUCAUAGGAAACGUAAUAAAACUAUAUCUGUGUCAGACCUGUACCACGCGAGACCAUCUAUGGCUCGCCAAUCAGUAGAAUAAUCUUUCUUAGACAAAUAUUCUCUGUUAGAAUAAGAUAGACGGCCAAGAGAAGGCCAAAGAAUAGCAAGUGUCGCUCAGCUCUAUAUAAUAUAAUACACCAAUAUAACUUUACCAAUAUAACUCUAGGAAACUGCUUAUCUUCCUUUGGACACAAAACGCGCGAAUCUACCGCCAGCAUGACCUAAAUCUACCGUCAAACCUAACUCCAGCCUAUAUUUUAUGGAAAUUCAGACCAAAAUAUAUUUUAGUUUCUCACUGGAAAAUUUCUUCGCGAUCUCGCCGUUACUUUUAUUCGUAUCCAAUCUACUCCAAUAUACUAAAACGUCGAUCCCCUUUACACUUUAGACCGUUCUACGAAAACGCCGAUGUUUCCAUCUAUAGGAGUAGAAUGUAUCUGUAAAUCAACUGCAAACCCAGCCGAACCCAAACCUAAUUGAAACCAAGGUUUCUCGAUCCACAAACCACUUCUACAACGUCUAAUUCACGCGGAAUGCAAUAUCGCCGAGCAAAUUGAUAAACUCCGUGUAUUCCCGUGAUCCGCGCUAGCUGUCGUGUGUUCAUAGGGGAAUUAACAGUUCCAUUGGCGACUUCGAUCGACUGCUGGCAGUACGUUACGUAACGCGUUUCGUGCGCCAGGGAACAACGAUCGGCUACGAUUAGAUUAAUUGGACGCAUUAGACUAGUUUAAACUGUAUAUUUCUCGGCACGCGGGAAGUGUAAUGCUGAUCGUAAACUGCUGUACGCGUGCAUGCGAGUACGCUUAUGGAUUUCCGAAGUAAUUGAGGGCCGUGCGGCAAUAAGGAAACUCUGUAUGUUUGAACUGUAUUUAUUGGAGGAGAAAGGAGGAUAUGACUUUCGCGUUCAAAAGCUGAGGAGAAUUAUUAUGAAAAUUAAUCGAAUAUCCAGCUGCCUUCUGUACAGAAUACUUGUUGGCUUCGUACGGAACGUGACAAUCAAUUCGAAGUAUCAGGGAAACGGAGGAUCGAUCGAUCGGAAUUUUAUAUUCACGCGAACAGCACAAGUUCGUACAUAGACGUUCCAGCUCUUGGACGUGUAAUUGAUUAGUCUGGAAGAUACGCUCCAUUAACAAAUUAGAAAUUAAAAGUUAUUCAACGGCUCAAUAUCUUUUGAUUAUCCAACGAUUCGAUUAAUUAUUCAUGCACAACGUAGUUCCACUGUCCUGCGCAAUGUUCCAGAUUGAUAUUUAAACGUUGAAGCCCAGGUGACUGAAAUAACUUUGCCGUCUCUUUAACUGGCGAUCAGUUGCGUAAAAGCUGUACGUCCACCGGCCAGGAAUGGCAUGCGUGGAAUUCCACGCGAAACGGUCAAUGAUAUUUCCAAUUCGUUGCUGCCUCGUGCACGAGAGAGUUGAAAUUUCCUGCUGGAUAUAACGUACAUACGUGCGGUUUCUCUGUGUGUGUUUACAUGCGAAAAAGAGCAUUUAGAGAGAAAGAAAGCGAGAGAGAGAAAGAGAGAGAAAGAGGAGUAGAGCGGAAUUGGAAGACUUGAAUUUGAAGAAUGUUGUUUGAGUUUGGUGUUGUGGGUGGCGGAGAUUGGAGGAAGAUGGUUCGGUCGAUUUAUUGGGCGAUUAAGCAAUGAGCUGAGUUAUGCAACGCGGUGAGAUAUGUGGCCUUUGUACGUGUUAUGCAGAUUCCUUUCCGUGUCUUUCCGAUGCUCGAAAUUUUUAGGUUUCGUCGUGUUGUCUGUAGACAAUGUUUCAUUAGACAACAUUUGAUUUACCUAUUGAAUAAUAAAUAACAAAUUGAAAUAAUAUCCUAGUUGUGAGUAACAAUUAAAUUUCUUAUUUAAAUGAGGGUAGCUUAAACGGUACCAGAAAUAAUUUAUUUAUUUGUAUUUAUUUCUUAUGUGCAAAUGGAAUUUCAUAUUCCAUUUGGAUUUAAUUGGAGAGAGAAUGAUAAUAUAUAAGUAAAUUGAUUUUUGGUUUUGCUUUAAACGUUUCGUGUUAUGCAAUGAAAAAGUCGAGAAGGUAACACGGUUAUUUUUCAAUAAAUAGUUGGAAAUUCGUAUUUGAUAUUAAAACUACUCGCUUUUCGUUGUGAGAAAGUUAUAUUUGAUUUGGAGGGCGUUCGCCGUAGCUAAUGAACAUUGUUAAAAAUAUAUUUAUGCAAAAAUAAGUCCGUUGGACGAUCGAUAACUA